AGCUUUGUCCAGUGGCAGUGUCAUAGCCUGUGAGAUUUAUCCAAAGCAUGAUUAUUGCUAAUAGCUAGAGUUUAGGCGCAUAUCAAGACAUCCAUACGUUUGGGAAUGAUUAUAAUAUC
rnacentral:snRNA from 1 species